ensembl:lncRNA
GCUGUAUGCGUGGACUACAACUAAAAUAAAUAUUUAAAAAAAAAAAAANNNNNNNNNNNNNNNNNNNNNNNNNNNNNNNNNNNNNNNNNNCUUGACCAAGGAUUCAGUACUUCCCGCAUUAGAUUGCUUUCCUCCCGCACUUCCUAAUUCUGAUAAUUAACAAAAUCUUCCGUGCAGUUCCUUCUAUACAUGUAAUACAAUUAAAAAAGAAGAAAAGAAAAGAAAAGAAAAGAAAGAAAGAAAGAAAGAAAGAAAGAAAGAAAGAAAGAAAGAAAGAAAGAAAGAAAGAAAGAAAAAGAAANAACGAAGAGGGGUGCCUGGCUGGCUCAGCCGGUGGAGCAGGCCGCACUCGUGAUCUUGGGGCUGUGAGAGGGAGCCCCACGCUGGGGGUAGAGAUCAUUUAAAAAAAAUGUUUUUUUAUUUUUAAAAAUAUAGUAUAAAUAAUGCAGCGUUUUCUAAGGGAGUUUGCGUCCAACCAGUAUCUCAAGAGCUUAGAAAGGGUUGGGUCUGCUUCCGAUUCACUGAGCAAGCAUCAAUCCUGCAGCCACCUCCCGGCUCCCAGGUUGGAGCGGCGGCUCCCAGCAGGGCCCGCAGCAGCGGGUGCGUCUGGGAGGAAAGGGGUGGCAACCGGGGGCGGGGGCAGGUCCCCACGACCGCAGCGGCGGGAGCGCGCGGCGCCGGAGGAGUUGCCAGGUGCCGGGGGCGGUGUCUGCCAGGCUGACGGGGUCCAGAAGCCUCGACCCAACCUGAACACCUGCGGCACCUCACGCUGAGGACCUGGAACCCUCCUCGGCCACCUGCGCGCACCCACCCGGAUCCACUAGGGCCGAAACCACUUCCGGUCCUGCGGCGGGCUGGAGGACGUAAACCUAGCAGGGAGGUACGCAUGGGCGGCGCCAUGUCGUACGGAAGCUGCUGGGCCAGCUGUUCCCUCCCCAGUUUCUCCACUGCUGAACAAAGGGUCUGUUAGAAUUGGAAAGGCUUAAACUAUCUUGAGAAAAGGGGUGUUUUUGUUUCUGUAUUGGUUUUGGUUUUAUUUACUUAUUUUUAAAUAUUUUAUUUAUUUAUUCAUGAGAGACACAGAGAGAGAGAGAGGCAGAGACUCAGGCAGAGGGAGAAGCAGGCUCCAUGCAGGGAGCCCGACGUGGGACUCGAUCCCAGGUCUCCGGGGUCACGCCCUGGGCCGAAGGCAGGCGCUAAACCGCUGAGGUUUUAGUUUUAACAGGAGAAGCCUAUGGAACCCUCACAAAUGCAACAUGGAACGUCUAAUUGUUAUUACUAAUUAGCUCAAGUAAUGUUACUCUAUCACACUAAUUUUCUUGACUGUAUUUAACGAUAAAGGUAAAUAAGACAGACGCUUGUUUACAUAAUGCAUUCUUGAUUAGCAGUGUAUUUAAUCCUAUUGCCAUAAUAAUAAUUAUGCUAUCUUUUAUAACAAUAACCACAAUACCUUAUAUUUAUAUUUAAAAUCAUCAGUCAACUAGUCUUUGUUAGCAACCAUUAUAUGUGAAGAGGCUAAUGGGUGCUAUGUAUUGUUACUCUGUCAUAAGAAGUGUAUAAGGAGAAACGAGAUGCACAUAAAGAAUAUAAGGUGUAAUAAUAGCUGCCAUUUGUUGACUAUGUACAUGCAGUGUGCUAGGAACUUUGCAAAUUGCUUUAUGUGUUUUGUCUCAUUUAAUCCUUAAAACAACCUCCUGAAGCAGUAUUAUUAUUAUUAGUGGCAUUUUGCAUAAAAUGGAGAAAGGUUAAAUAAAUUUCUCAAGCUUGGAGCUGAGAAUCA